rfam:Ixodes scapularis strain Wikel colony gcontig_1107728768604, whole genome shotgun sequence.
UCCUGGUUAGCUCAGUUGGUAGAGCACUCCACUGGGAAUGAAAAGGUCCGUGGUUCUAUAUCAGGACCAGGCA